UGGGGAAUCUUGCGCAAUGGGCGAAAGCCUGACGCAGCCAUGCCGCGUGGAUGAUGAAGGUCUUAGGAUUGUAAAAUCCUUUCACCGGUGAAGAUAAUGACUGUAGCCGGAGAAGAAGCCCCGGCUAACUUCGUGCCAGCAGCCGCGGUAAUACGAAGGGGGCUAGCGUUGCUCGGAAUUACUGGGCGUAAAGGGAGCGUAGGCGGACAUUUAAGUCAGGGGUGAAAUCCCAGAGCUCAACUCUGGAACUGCCUUUGAUACUGGAUGUCUUGAGUGUGAGAGAGGUAAGUGGAACUCCGAGUGUAGAGGUGAAAUUCGUAGAUAUUCGGAAGAACACCAGUGGCGAAGGCGACUUACUGGCUCAUUACUGACGCUGAGGCUCGAAAGCGUGGGGAGCAAACAG
rnacentral:rRNA from 1 species